CGAUCACCAACGUGGCGUCCUGAGGACACUGGAUGGCAUCCACUCUGUCCCCCUGGGAUGGGGGCAGAGCUGGACCAGAAGCCAGGUGCGGGACAUCUUCCAGUGCUCAGAGAGAGCAUUUGUCCCUGCUGACAGCCUGCUCAGGGGAACCCCAUUGUUCCUCUUUAUUGGAACCCCUCAGUCCCCGUGGAUCCUGUAGGGUCCCAUUCCAGCCUUGGGCAGCUUCAGUCUGUAUAACUGGUAGGUCGCUUUGACUGAGUCACUGCCCCUCUCUGAACCUCAGUCUCCUCUUCUGCAGGAUGGGAAGAUAGCGGUCAUACCUUGAAAGGUAGAAUAGCCUAAGGUGACAGAGCGUAGCCAUGCUCAGCACAGGAGCUGGCAGGUGGGGAGCCCUCAAGAUGCGUCACCGUAGAAACACCUUGAGCUCAUCACAGUCGCUGGACACUGAAGCUCCCACAGCACAGAUCGGCCUCCCCUCAGGAGCCUCAACUGGCCGGUGCCAUCCUCCUCCUCACCCGACCUCAGGGGCGCGUGUGAUUGGCCUGGGGGACCCAGGGAAGUCAGCCUGCCUUCCUGGACUUUGGGUGACUGCCCCCUGGACCUCGUCUCCCUGUCUGCGUGAUGGGAGUGAGCGUCUCUGCAGCCGCCUCAGCUCUGACUUGAAAUGCCCCUCGGGGCGCCUGCCCACCUGGGCUGCCCUGCAGGGGCCCUGAGGUCUGUCCCUUGUGUGUCCCUGGCUCUCAUGUCAUGGCCAGUCCAGCCCACUGCACCGAUGGCCUCCCCAGCUCCAGAGCAUCCCAGGACCCCCAGCUCCUGUGUCCUCCCAGGUGACACGUGCAUCAUAGCGCCUCCCUGUGGCUGUGCCCGGAGCCGAUCCUCCUCCAACACCUGUCUUGAGGGGGCACCGAGUGGGGGAAGGGCAGCACUGUCCCCUCCCCCUCGUGGCAGCACAGGUCUACGUGGGCCGGGGUCAAGGGCGGGCCCAAGAUCACCAGGGAACCCUGAGUCCAGGCCUCGCUGGCUGGUUUUGUGUGUUUUUUUCAGGGAUAGGGAUUGAACCCCCAAGCUCCAGCCCCGCUCCUGUUGGUUUUGAUUUUGAGACAGCUCUCGCGCGUUGGCCAGGCUGCCUGGAGCUUGCCAUCCUCCUGCCUCCGCCUCCCGACUCGCUGGGGUCCCAGGCGCGGCCGCCACUGCUACUGAUUUCAAAUGCCCAUGGUCUCACCUCGAGGACAUCGGCCAGGAGGGGUCUGUCCCCGGCUCUGGAGCUGCUGAAGACACCCAACUUCCUCAGGGCAACUAUGAGACACUUUGGGGACACAGAGGGACACUCUCAGCUGGGGAAGGAGCCAGGGGUGUCCCUGGUGGCUGUCCGUUUUGUUACAAGAAGGGACAACCUAGCACUUUGGCCGUCUCCCCUUUCUCCAGGGACAGCUCUGAGCCCUGCUGUUUGCAGGUGCUAUUUUAUUUAAUUCCCACGCCACAGUCCCAUGAGCCGAGUUAUGAUCCUUAUUUCAACGGGGAGGAAACAGAGCCUCAGAGAGGUUAAGCAGCCUGCCCUUGGUCACACAGCAAGGCUGAUGUCCAAUAAAAGUCGUC
rnacentral:lncRNA from 1 species